GUCGCCAUAGUUCAACGGAUAGAACAGGUUCCUCCUAAGAAUCAGAUACAGGUUCGAUUCCUGUUGGCGAUACCA
rnacentral:tRNA from 3 species